ensembl:lncRNA
UUCCCUCCAACAGUGAAGGCAAUGCAUGUCCCUCAGGUACCCACCUUGUCACUCCUGACUGGCACUUUGAAACAAUCCAUGUAAAUACAGAUCAUAUCCAGCAUCUGAGUGCUUUUAGGCAUUUUUAGUCAGAUAACAACUGCAAUCCUCCUCUCUUUUUACCACUUUAGUAAGUUUAGUUGGCUUAGAGAUGGUUUUUCUAUGGUUUGUCUUCAUAAGGCCCUCGGCACAGCAUACACAUACUUAAAGCUUUCCAGUAUUAUCUGAGUGAGAAGGACUUUCAACACAGUGCAGGUGCUUCACAUUGACCUGAUCGUGGUGGGACCAGCACCUGGGGAGGCUGCCUUAUCUUGGUCAGUGGGUUCCCCAUCUCAAGCUCCUGCCUCAACAAGAUCUUGCCCUCAGGUGGCAGUUUCAUCAUUCAGAUAACAGACAUAUCCUGUGGCAUGUUGGAUGAAGAAACAUCUCAGGUACUUCAUCAGGCAUUUACAUACUAGGACUGAGAACUGAGCAGCAGUGCCAGAUGUUUCUCUUCUGUCUUUUUUUUUGAUGCUGUCAGGCCGAGAUAUUCUUAAUUUAUUUAUCAGCCACAGAAGGUUCUCAGGGUUCUCACAGAUCAGUGUGCAGAGUACACUUCUGGUGCACUGAAAGUUCAAAAGCCAGUGAAUGGACAGCAAGUUUGUCACCUUCCCACCAAAGCUGCUGCAUCCCUGAAUGGAUUUUUGCCAUUUUGCUUGCAAAGGAUGAUGAGCUGGGCCAUUGGAGAGGAAGAGCCAUUUCCCCCAGGGCUCUCCCUCAGGCCCUGUGCAGCCUGCUCUGCACUCUCUUCAACCCCUAUCACAGACAGAGGUUGUCCCCAGCCUCUCCUCAAAACUGCUCUUGCUGCCUGCAGAAGGCCAGAGGGCCAGGAAAUCCUAACAGAUCUGGAUCCUUGUGGAGCACCACCAAGACUCACCACUGGCACGCUGACCACCAGCAGCUGACGGUGACCGCUCUCACAGGGGGAAGGUGCUGAGUGUCUCGAAGAGAGCUGUGUAACAGCAACACCUCCUGGAGGCCGGAGAGCACUGGAGAACCAUUGCUGCCUGUGCAGCUUGUUGCUCUCACCCGCCAGAGUGCAUUACUAAUAAUGCUGAAGUUUGGAAUAAUAAUUAAGAUACAUCACUAACUGUGCGUGCAUUUAUUGCUUCAUUUAGCAGUAAUUGAAAACUGUGCUUUUUUUUAAAAAAAUAACUCUUUCGGAGUCUUUUUUGCUCACACUGCUUUUAACGGUUAACAUUUAGUAUUUUAAUUACACCGGAUUUAUGGGUCUUAGUCUCUGCUCUAUACACCCUUUGUCUGAGGAUAUGAAAAAGCAGAGGAGCACCCUGCUGCUCAGUGGCUCAGCUGCCUCUUGUCCCCUCUGAGUAGCACGAGCCGCCAGCGCCCAGAGCAGCGCUCCUAAUCCUGAUGCUGAAGUAGAGCUCCCAGAGCCACAGGCAGGCAGCCCAAGAGCAUCGGCCUUCACUUGCAGUCAGCUGAGUGCCUGCAGUUUUCUUCAUUUUAAACAGAAGCAUAGAAUCAUAGAAUAUUCUGAGUUGGAAGAAUCAUAAGAAUCAUCAAGUCCAGCUCCUGACUCCACUCAUGACCACCCACAGCCUUCCUGUAAACAAAUCCCUUGAUGCUGGAGAGGCUUUAAGGACCUUUUGCACUGGGGCUUCUAAGGUUUUGCCAAAGAAGACAGGAGAGUCUUUCCACAGGCUGCUGCAGGACGGUUUUGUGAGCGCAGACAGGAAGCUGUGCUAAUGGCAGGAGGACUCAUUUAACUCUCUGGCCUCAGUUUCUGGCAAUAUUUUCCUUGACAAAGUAUCUCAGAGAGCUACUGCCUAGUAAUAACAAUAAUAAUAAUACUUCUAACUAGGUCUUUGAACAGAGAUGCAACCAAUCAUUUUCACACCACUGUUGCAAGGUACUGCUGUACUGCUAGAACAGAGAGAGAGAACUGAAGCCCUGAGUGAAGGAAUCUGAGA